CUCGCUGCCCCGGCCGGGGAAGGGGAGCGGGGGUCCCGCGUGGAAAGAGAGGGGGAAAGGCGCGGGGAAACACGGAGCCGGCGUCCGCGGCGCCUGCGGGCGGCGGCGUCACGGGACACGCGUGGGCGGUCUGCUGCCCGCCCCGGCGCAACGCCCGUCGCGGCUGACUUCGUUUCUUUAUUUUGCCAGCUGUAAAUCCUCAGCUGCGGAAGGAAAGCAGGCGUUUUUAAAGACGGACUUCUUGGAAGGCUUUCCCAAGGGAGCGCUGGGAGUCACUGGAUGGCUUUUGUCCUCAUUUUCUUCAAAAAUCCGUGUUUUCUGUCUCAAGGGAAAGUAAAUAAUGCCCCACGGGGAAAUUCGCAACAUCGCAUGUGAAACUCUAGUGCUGUUCAGCGUUUUGUAAGAUCAGGCUGGAUUUUCUGGCUAGACUGUUUCUACAGUCAUGCUCGAUGGAUAUGGAUUCUUAGAGUGCAUUCUUCCCUUCUGCCAGCUGAGAGAGUGUCUGGGGCCUAGAAUGGAAGACUAAAGAACCAUGUGCACCCCAUUCUCGGAUGGGUUUCUCAAAGUAUGAAC